UGGGGAAUUUUGGACAAUGGGCGCAAGCCUGAUCCAGCAAUGCCGCGUGCAGGACGAAGGCCUUCGGGUUGUAAACUGCUUUUGUACGGAACGAAACGGUAUCUUCUAAUACAAGGGGCUAAUGACGGUACCGUAAGAAUAAGCACCGGCUAACUACGUGCCAGCAGCCGCGGUAAUACGUAGGGUGCGAGCGUUAAUCGGAAUUACUGGGCGUAAAGCGUGCGCAGGCGGUUAUAUAAGACAGAUGUGAAAUCCCCGGGCUCAACCUGGGACCUGCAUUUGUGACUGUAUAGCUAGAGUACGGUGGAGGGGGAUGGAAUUCCGCGUGUAGCAGUGAAAUGCGUAGAUAUGCGGAGGAACACCGAUGGCGAAGGCAAUCCCCUGGACCUGUACUGACGCUCAUGCACGAAGGCGUGGGGAGCAAACAG
rnacentral:rRNA from 1 species